rnacentral:rRNA from 1 species
GACGAAGGGGGCUAGCGUUGUUCGGAAUUACUGGGCGUAAAGCGAGUGUAGGUGGUUGUCAUAGUCAGGCGUGAAAGCCUUGAGCUCAACUCUAGAAAUGCGCUUGAUACUGGGCAGCUAGAGGACCGGAGAGGAUAGUGGAAUUCCCAGUGUAGUGGUGAAAUACGUAGAGAUUGGGAAGAACACCAGUGGCGAAGGCGGCUAUCUGGACGGUUUCUGACACUAAGACUCGAAAGCGUGGGGAGCGAACAGG